UACAGAGGUCUCAAGCGUUGUUCGGAUUCAUUGGGCGUAAAGGGUGCGUAGGCGGCGCGGUAAGUCGGGUGUGAAAUCUCGGAGCUUAACUCCGAAACUGCAUUCGAUACUGCCGUGCUUGAGGACUGGAGAGGAGACUGGAAUUUACGGUGUAGCGGUGAAAUGCGUAGAUAUCUGGAGGAACACCGGUGGCGAAGGCGGCAUCCUGGACCAAUUCUGACGCUGAGUGAGCGAAAGCCAGGGGGAGCAAAACGGG
rnacentral:rRNA from 1 species